rnacentral:rRNA from 1 species
AUUGAACGCUGGCGGCAGGCCUAACACAUGCAAGUCGAGCGGAUGAAGGGAGCUUGCUCCUGGAUUCAGGGGCGGACGGGUGAGUAAUGCCUAGGAAUCUGCCUGGUAGUGGGGGAUAACGUCCGGAAACGGGCGCUAAUACCGCAUACGUCCUGAGGGAGAAAGUGGGGGAUCUUCGGACCUCACGCUAUCAGAUGAGCCUAGGUCGGAUUAGCUAGUUGGUGGGGUAAAGGCCUACCAAGGCGACGAUCCGUAACUGGUCUGAGAGGAUGAUCAGUCACACUGGAACUGAGACACGGUCCAGACUCCUACGGGAGGCAGCAGUGGGGAAUAUUGGACAAUGGGCGAAAGCCUGAUCCAGCCAUGCCGCGUGUGUGAAGAAGGUCUUCGGAUUGUAAAGCACUUUAAGUGGGGAGGAAGGGCAGUAAGUUAAUACCUUGCUGUUUUGACGUUACCAACAGAAUAAGCACCGGCUAACUUCGUG